GAUGAACGCUGGCGGCGUGCCUAAUACAUGCAAGUCGUACGGAAAGGCCCUUCGGGGUACUCGAGUGGCGGACGGCUGAGUAACGCGUGGGAACGUGCCCCAAACUGAGGGAUAACGCACCGAAAGGUGUGCUAAUACCGCAUAUGCUCUUCGGAGUAAAGCUUCGGCGGUUUGGGAGCGGCCCGCGUCCGAUUAGCUAGUUGGUGAGGUAAAGGCUUACCAAGGCGACGAUCGGUAGCUGGUCUGAGAGGAUGAUCAGCCAGACUGGAACUGAGAUACGGUCCAGACUCCUACGGGAGGCAGCAGUAAGGAAUCUUCCACAAUGGGGGCAACCCUGAUGGAGCAACGCCGCGUGAAGGAUGAAGGCCCUCGGGUCGUAAACUUCUUUUAUAAGUGAGGAAUAUGACGGUAACUUAUGAAUAAGGAUCGGCUAACUACGUG
rnacentral:rRNA from 1 species